UCUGAAACUUUUUUUUUUUUUUUUUUUUUUUUUUUGCGGUACGUGGGCCUCUCACUGUUGUGGCCUCUCCCAUUGCGGAGCACAGGCUCCGGACGCGCGGGCCCAGCCGCUCUGUGGCAUUUUGGAUCUUCCCGGACCGGGGCACGAACCCACGUCCCCUGCAUCGGCAGGCGGACUCUCAACCACUGCGCCACCAGGGAAGCCCUAAAUCUGAAACUUUUAAACAGAGUUCCCUGGUUUUGUCAGCUUGCUUCCAUCUGAGAUUCCUGGCGGAAAGUCUCUGAACUUCCUGAACACGAGAGUUCUGAAGGUGCUCUGGGGCGCUGGCGGGAAGAGGACCUCGCCUCCUCGUUACACUUCAGUGUCAUCAAGCCGCAGACCCGAAUGCGAACACAUCAACAGGGGUUAUUACCUUCUUUUGACCACACAGGUAAGAAGAAAGAUUACUUCUAUUUUUUCUCUCAUUCUUCAGCUAAAUCAUGGUAUUUCAACUUCAGGCUGAUUUCUAAUUUCACAAAAAAUCCUAGUAAAUAUCAAGUCCAGAGAUCACCUUCAGAGCUUCUCUUCUAGUGGAACCCUGAGAGAGAAAAUCUCCACACCAGAGGGGAUGGUGUUUUACAAUGAGUUUGUUGACAACGGCAACACAAGAUGAUUAAGCAAGAGGACAUGUUUCAUAGGGAUUUCACCUACAGCCAUAAAUGUGGAGGUGCCUUCACUAAUCCCGACAAGUAAAGAAAUAUUUUUUUUUUAAAGAAAUAUUUCUUUGGCUUCCACCCAUCAGUCCAAUAACAAUGACGGGUCCUAACACUCUGGUAGUUUUAUACCUCUGACAAAUGUUUACCUAGGACUCUGGCCAAGCCUAUUAUUUUAGAUCUUUUUGAUCAUCUGCAGCGGCCUAAGAUUCAGUAAGCCUGGUAAACAGGUAAAUGGCUGCUCAAUUACUGAUAACCAGAGUAACUAUAAAUGAGUGGAAAAAAAGGCUGAUUUCAGAGAAGCCGGUUUCAUUUACCACUUUGCUUCUAAGAACUGGAGAAAAAGAAUAACCCAGGGAAUUCCCUGGCAGUCCAGUAGUGGUUGGGACUCUGUGCUUCCACUGCAGGGGCACGAGUGUGAUCCCUGGUACGGGAACUAAGAUCCCACAAGCCGGCAACAAAACAAAACAAAAUACAAAACAAAAAGAAUAACUAGCCCGAUAGCUCCAUUCAAAGGGAAAAAAAUGAAGGCCAAAGGUUACCGUUGAUUAGUUACAAGAAUCUCCAGGUGGCCCUAUGGCAGCCUAACAAGAUCUGCAAUUCCCAAAAAUACUUCUUUGGGUGUUUCCAUAGUAAGUAGUGACUAACAUACUUAAGGGAUUCUUAUGAGAGGUGCCCAAGGAGUCCGGCAGCUCUGUAGUCUGCGGACAGGUAAGCUAGGGUGACAGUACAGCACAGAGGUCAAGAACUGGGAUUCCAGAGUCAGACUGCCCAGGGCUGAAUCCAGACUCUCCUGAUUUCUAGUGGUGUGGCUUUGGGCAAGUUACUUAAUCCCUCUAUGCUUCAUUUCCUCAGCUUUAAAUCAAGAGUUAUCUGAAUGCCUACUUUAAGGUCUGAUAUGAGAAUCAAGUACAAAAACAUAAAGUGUCCAUUCAGCACCCUGCUCCUGCACAAAGUAAGCCCUCACAAAACGUUAGCUAUUAUUAACAUCACGCAGACCUGCUGACAAUACAGACUUGACCAGCUCUAGUCUAGUCAACACAGCUUGACUAAACCAGACUUGGCUACUUCGGAUCACUGGAAAACCUAAGCCCAAGUUAGAGGUUCUCUGGCAGGGCUGGGAAGACCCAACCCAGCAGUUUAGAGAGAAAUAAUCCACCUCGUGACCUGACCUUGGAAGCCUCCCCGCCCUUCACGCUGACCUCAAAUGUAGAAUCAACAAGAAAGGAAACUUACUGGGCCCCUACUAAGUGCCAGACACAGUGUGAGACUCUCUCGUGUUAUCUUUCAUCCGGUGAGGAAACGGGCGCACAUGCCGAGGACGUGCUUGGGGCAUCACUUGUUUCCUAGCUUAUUCCUGAGUUUAUUCCUAACCUGGGCCUCCGAAAUGAGGCUAUUUGCCCGGGAGACUCUUCCUUGAAUUUCUGGACAGCUGCACAAAAGGAGGACACAAGACUCCUGCCUCUGAGCCUGGACUCACUUCAGAGGCGGGAUGUCCCCAUGGAAGACUCAGGGACCGGACAAAGUCCUGGGGAGGUUUCCGGGUAGCCUUGACCUUGGUGCCUAAGAUUCGUUUCACACCCUGCGGGCUGGAGGCGAUGACACAGCCCCUUGGCCUGGGCAGCGUUGGAGCCUAAUUGAUGUCAGUCUGGUGCCUGCUGCUUGGUGCGUUGUUAAAGAUGUCUCGGUUACAUGAUGCAGUUAUCAAGAGGAGGUGGACAGGAGAGCUCCCAUGGUCUUGUAACCGGUUUGGUUCCUGCUGCCCUGUACCAAUUCUUCAUUAAUUCUCAGUAAGGUUUGUAGACAUUAAUUGGGCCAUAAUGCUCUGCUGGGUAGAGAAGUCCUUUGCCAUCUUCCCUCUGCUUUGGAAAACACUGCCUCUAGGAAUUACUUGAACGGAACGUAACAUAUGUCUCAGAACGCCCAGGUCUGUGUUGCUAUGAUCGAGAAUGACCUGGUUUUUAUCACCACUCUAACAAAAUAAAUAGUGACUCAGGGAUGCUCUGCGUUUUUGUCCUCUCUUGGGCCCACAGUAUUUUGUAUUAUGGUUACUUGGAAAGUGGUUGUGAAAAAUGGGAAAUAAACUUGG